rnacentral:rRNA from 1 species
GACGAACGCUGGCGGCGUGCUUAACACAUGCAAGUCGAACGGAAAGGCCCUGCUUUUGUGGGGUGCUCGAGUGGCGAACGGGUGAGUAACACGUGAGUAACCUGCCCUUGACUUUGGGAUAACUUCAGGAAACUGGGGCUAAUACCGUAUAGGAGCUCCUGCUGCAUGGUGGGGGUUGGAACGUUUCGGCGGUUGGGGAUGGACUCGCGGCUUAUCAGCUUGUUAGUGGGGUAGUUGCUUACCAAGGCUUUGACGGGUAGCCGGCCUGAGAGGGUGAACGGCCACAAGGGGACUGAGAUACGGACCAGACUCCUACGGGAGGCAGCAGGGGGGAAUAUUGCACAAUGGGCGGAAGCCUGAUGCAGCAACGCUGCGUGCGGGAUGACGGCCUUCGGGUUGUAAACCGCUUUCGCCUGUGACGAAGCGUGAGUGACGGUAAUGGGUAAAGAAGCACCGGCUAACUACGUG